rnacentral:rRNA from 1 species
GACAGGGGCCCCGAGCGUUAGGCGGAAUCACUGGGCUUAAAGCGCGUGUAGGCGGAGGGCUAAGUACCUUGUGAAAUCCCCGGGCUCAACCCGGGAACUGCUCGGUAUACUGGCCUUCUUGAGGCAUCUAGGGGCGAGCGGAACAAACGGUGGAGCGGUGAAAUGCGUAGAUAUCGUUUGGAACGCCAACGGAGAAAUCAGCUCGCUGGGGAUGUCCUGACGCUGAGACGCGAAAGCCAGGGGAGCAAACGGG